rnacentral:tRNA from 1 species
AGGAAGUGGCAGAAGGAUAUGCGUCUGGCUUGAAACCAGGGGAUGAAGGUUCGAUUCCUUCCUUUCUCGA